rnacentral:rRNA from 1 species
UACGGGGGGAGCAAGCGUUGUUCGGAUUUACUGGGCGUAAAGGGCGCGUAGGCGGCCAGCACAAGUCAGUUGUGAAAUUUCCGAGCUUAACUCGGAACGGUCAACUGAUACUGUGCGGCUAGAGUGCGGAAGGGGCAACUGGAAUUCUUGGUGUAGCGGUGAAAUGCGUAGAUAUCAAGAGGAACACCUGCGGCGAAGGCGGGUUGCUGGGCCGACACUGACGCUGAUGCGCGAAAGCCAGGGGAGCGAACGGG